UACGGAGGGUGCAAGCGUUAUCCGGAUUCACUGGGCUUAAAGGGUGCGUAGGCGGGUAGGUAAGUCAGUGGUGAAAUCUUCGAGCUUAACUCGGAAACUGCCGUUGAUACUAUCUAUCUUGAAUACCGUGGAGGUGAGCGGAAUAUGUCAUGUAGCGGUGAAAUGCUUAGAUAUGACAUAGAACACCAAUUGCGAAGGCAGCUCGCUACACGAAUAUUGACUCUGAGGCACGAAAGCGUGGGGAUCAAACAGG
rnacentral:rRNA from 1 species